rnacentral:rRNA from 1 species
GAUGAACGCUGGCGGCGUGCCUAAUACAUGCAAGUCGAGCGAACGGACGAGAAGCUUGCUUCUCUGAUGUUAGCGGCGGACGGGUGAGUAACACGUGGAUAACCUACCUAUAAGACUGGGAUAACUUCGGGAAACCGGAGCUAAUACCGGAUAAUAUUUUGAACCGCAUGGUUCAAAAGUGAAAGACGGUCUUGCUGUCACUUAUAGAUGGAUCCGCGCUGCAUUAGCUAGUUGGUAAGGUAACGGCUUACCAAGGCAACGAUGCAUAGCCGACCUGAGAGGGUGAUCGGCCACACUGGAACUGAGACACGGUCCAGACUCCUACGGGAGGCAGCAGUAGGGAAUCUUCCGCAAUGGGCGAAAGCCUGACGGAGCAACGCCGCGUGAGUGAUGAAGGUCUUCGGAUCGUAAAACUCUGUUAUUAGGGAAGAACAUAUGUGUAAGUAACUGUGCACAUCUUGACGGUACCUAAUCAGAAAGCCACGGCUAACUACGUGCCAGCAGCCGCGGUAAUACGUAGGUGGCAAGCGUUAUCCGGAAUUAUUGGGCGUAAAGCGCGCGUAGGCGGUUUUUUAAGUCUGAUGUGAAAGCCCACGGCUCAACCGUGGAGGGUCAUUGGAAACUGGAAAACUUGAGUGCAGAAGAGGAAAGUGGAAUUCCAUGUGUAGCGGUGAAAUGCGCAGAGAUAUGGAGGAACACCAGUGGCGAAGGCGACUUUCUGGUCUGUAACUGACGCUGAUGUGCGAAAGCGUGGGGAUCAAACAGGAUUAGAUACCCUGGUAGUCCACGCCGUAAACGAUGAGUGCUAAGUGUUAGGGGGUUUCCGCCCCUUAGUGCUGCAGCUAACGCAUUAAGCACUCCGCCUGGGGAGUACGACCGCAAGGUUGAAACUCAAAGGAAUUGACGGGGACCCGCACAAGCGGUGGAGCAUGUGGCUUAAUUCGAAGCAACGCGAAGAACCUUACCAAAUCUUGACAUCCUUUGACAACUCUAGAGAUAGAGCUUUCCCCUUCGGGGGACAAAGUGACAGGUGGUGCAUGGUUGUCGUCAGCUCGUGUCGUGAGAUGUUGGGUUAAGUCCCGCAACGAGCGCAACCCUUAAGCUUAGUUGCCAUCAUUAAGUUGGGCACUCUAGGUCGACUGCCGGUGACAAACCGGAGGAAGGUGGGGAUGACGUCAAAUCAUCAUGCCCCUUAUGAUUUGGGCUACACACGUGCUACAAUGGACAAUACAAAGGGCAGCGAAACCGUGAGGUCAAGCAAAUCCCAUAAAGUUGUUCUCAGUUCGGAUUGUAGUCUGCAACUCGACUACAUGAAGCUGGAAUCGCUAGUAAUCGUAGAUCAGCAUGCUACGGUGAAUACGUUCCCGGGUCU